UGCCGACAAGGUGUCCGCACUAAGUUCAGUAUCAGUAUGGUGACCUCCUGGGAACAGGUCAUCGGCUUGCCUAAGGAUGGGAGAACUGGCCCAGGUCAGAAAGGGAGCAGGUCAGAAUUCCUGCACCAAUCGGUAGUGGGACUGUGCCUGGGCA
rfam:Homo sapiens chromosome 15 genomic contig, GRCh38 reference assembly alternate locus group ALT_REF_LOCI_1.